rnacentral:tRNA from 1 species
GCCUGGGUGGUUCAGUCGGUUGAGCGUCCGACUUCAGCUCAGGUCAGGAUCUCGCAGUUUGUGAGUUCGAGCCCCACGCCGGGCU